GGUUCUAUGGUGUAAUGGUUAGCACUUCAGACCCUGACUCUGACAAUCUGAGUUUAAAUCUCGGUAGAACCU
rfam:Daphnia magna strain Xinb3 scaffold01806, whole genome shotgun sequence.